GCGAGGCGACGAGUCCGCGAUACGCCUCUCCCAUUGGCUGAGCCGGCCCACGCGAGCCAAUGGGAGGCUCAGGAAGGCGAAGGCAGCCAACGGUCCAUGCCAAAUUCUCCCCGCUUCUUUGUUCAACGUACGUACAUUCAUCAAAUCACGAAGACGAAGAACGUACAUACAUGCGCAUAUCUAAUUUCUCUGGCUGGUGGUGUACGCAAGUGCUAAGAAUUCCCCAUCAUCGUGCCCCCAAGUCAUCUGAAGCGGCCCGCGAACUUCCGCCGGCCAAUAGCGACCAAGCAAAGGAGGGACCGCGACGGUUUUGUGUCGCCAUCAUCAACGAGGAAGGGCUACUUUCUACGGAGAACUUCGGUUCAUUCGGAGGCCUAUCGAAUCACGUGUCACCACGAGCGACGUCACACUGCGGACUCGACUAAGUAGGCGCAGGAGCCCGACUACGUCACCGUCCCUCUCCGGGCGGAUUCGCCGCGAGUGAAGAUACGAAAGGCGGUCGGAUGCUCUGCGCUUGUCAGCUCAAAAUGGCCAGACCUGAUGGCGGAUACUGUUCUUGAGAUGUCCGUGGCUGUGCCAGGACAUCGAAGUGUAACCAUACAACGCCUCACAGAGCUCGACAACCUCUACCGAGGCCAGGGCCUCCAUUUUUUGUUCGAGGACGAAAGGAGGCUGCUGGUGCAGGUCGAGAAAGAGACACAAGUCGCCCAUCUUCUCAGGGGCGUGCAGCCGGUUACCGCGGAGGUAGCCCCCACGCGCCGGCACACGCCUCACACAGAAGACCAUGGCAAUGGACAUCACAUGGCACACCGAAGUCAUGAGGAUGGGUGAUUUCAUCACGAACAACCACACUUCCAUCGUCACCAUUCUCUUCAGGGGGCUCGACACCAUCUUUGCCAAGCAGCUGGUGCAGUUCGUGUUAUCGAAAUUGUAAUAAAUUCAUUUAUGUUUUCUGUGAAAUUUA